UGCUGGCUGCCUGUUUGCAUCUAAGAGAGCAUAGGUAAUAGAAUCCCUACAUCCAGAUGCUGCUGCUCGUUGCCUUGAAAAUGAUUUUUGAGAGACCGUAGCUAAAAUGGAUUCCAGUUUCUCCCUUGCUUUUGAAGUUCUGAAAGCACCUAUGAUGCAAACAGGGUUCUUUUCCCCACAUAGAGCAUCAAAAUUCAAACUCGUCAGCAAAGGUAAGUGUUCCUCAACAGGAUCAUUCUGCUUUCUGGCCUGACUUGAUGCUUUCUUCUUAUUCUUUUUAUCAAACCCAUCAAGCAAGGUACUAAGAUCUUGAAUUGCAGAUUGCAAAUCUUUCACAGAAAUCCCUGCUUUUAAGACAUGCUUUUCCGCAUUUGAUAACCAACCAACUAUAGCUGGAAGUGCAUCAACUCCCAACUUCUUUACCAUUGGAUCACUAACACCAUGAACCUCUGCAUCAUUGAAAAUGAAGUGAUUAUGAUAUAAGCCACUAAGGACACGCCAGAUCACAGGUGUAUCUUUUUUGGUGGAGAGAAGCAAAACUCUGGGGAGUUUUUCCCUGCUACCAGAGGAAGUCUCAAGGUGUUUCAGAUCAAUCCGCCUUGAAAACCUUGGCAACUGUUCUUGGCAAAAAGUCUUCAAAUUCCUAGCAAGCAAAUCACCAUUGUAUUCCACCAAAGAACCCUUAUCAUUUGCUUUGUAUGAGUAGACAAAUACCCUAGGUUCUUGGUGGGGAUGUAUGCCAAGCUCAGUACAAAAGGACUUUUCAGUUUCACAAUUAAUGCUUCCUACCUUUAGAGCUCCUUGCAAUGAAACAGCAACCUCCAGUAUGAUUGAUUCAUAACGGCUCCCCCUCAAAGGGGGAGUAUAGGAUAACAAAAGCCAAGUCAUGCCUUGGUCAGCAAUUUCUUUCCUGAAAAUUUUAGAAUUUAUAGGCUUGAAACCCUUAGGGGAGCUUCUAGAGCCAGAGUGAAAACUGGAUUGAGACCUGGAAAAACCACUGAAACCACCAAACUGAUUGCCACCACCAUCACCACCAAAAAUAUUGGAGAAAAUAUCAUUCAGGCCAAAACCAAAAGAACUCUGAGCACUAGGACCACCAAAGGAAAAUGAGAAUGAUUGGGAACUUCCCUGCCCCUCCAUGUUUUGCCAUUCAUCUGGCCUGAAUGUAAACCGAUUUUGCCUGUGUCUACCGCCUUUAAAAUAAGUAUAUCCACCCUGGUCCCCAGGAUAGCCAGCAUCAAAUCCAGGAUUGCCCUUUUCAUCUCCAUAUAGAUCAUAAUUUUUCCUUUUCUCUUCAUCUGAUAGAAUCUCAUAUGCAUUAUUAAUCUCAGCAAACUUCUCUUGAGCACCCUUAUUUUUAUUCUUGUCAGGAUGAUAUUGAAGAGAAAGCUGGUGGAAGGCUUUCUGUAUUUCACGUUGACUUGCGUUCUUCUCAACCCCAAGAACCUCGUAAGGGUCAAUAGUUUUCGCCUCUCCCACUAAUAGAACCAGAGAUAAAAAGACUGUCAAUGGCAAAGUAAAGCGCUUAUUCAUCUUUCUAGAUCCCACUGAGCGAGCUUAUGCUGAGCGUUGACCGUGAGAUUUGUAAGAGUUUUUUUUUUUUUUCAGGGCG
rnacentral:misc_RNA from 1 species